AUUGAACGCUGGCGGCAUGCUUUACACAUGCAAGUCGAACGGUAACAGCACUUCGGUGGCUGACGAGUGGCGAACGGGUGAGUAAUACAUCGGAACGUGCCUAGUAGUGGGGGAUAACUACUCGAAAGAGUAGCUAAUACCGCAUGAGAUCUAAGGAUGAAAGCAGGGGACCUUCGGGCCUUGCGCUACUAGAGCGGCUGAUGGCAGAUUAGGUAGUUGGUGGGAUAAAAGCUUACCAAGCCGACGAUCUGUAGCUGGUCUGAGAGGACGACCAGCCACACGGGGACUGAGACACGGCACUGACUGCUACGGGAGGCAGCAGAGGGGAAUUGUGGACAAUGGGCGCAAGGCUGAUCCAGCAAUGCCGCGUGCGAGAAGAAGGCCUCUGGGUUGUCAGCAGCUUUUGGCAGGAACGAAAAGGUGUCCGAUCAUACCGGGCGCUAAUGACGGUACGUGAAGAAUAAGAACCGGCUAACUACGUG
rnacentral:rRNA from 1 species